rnacentral:rRNA from 1 species
UAAGGAAUAUUGGACAAUGGACGCAAGUCUGAUCCAGCCAUGCCGCGUGAAGGAUGACUGCCCUCUGGGUUGUAAACUUCUUUUAUAGGGGAAGAAAGUUAUUUUUUAGGAUAUUUGACGGUACCCUAUGAAUAAGCACCGGCUAACUCCGUGCCAGCAGCCGCGGUAAUACGGAGGGUGCAAGCGUUAUCCGGAUUCACUGGGUUUAAAGGGUGCGUAGGCGGGUAUGUAAGUCAGUGGUGAAAUACCGGAGCUUAACUUCGGAACUGCCAUUGAUACUAUAUAUCUUGAAUAUUGUGGAGGUAAGCGGAAUAUGUCAUGUAGCGGUGAAAUGCUUAGAGAUGACAUAGAACACCGAUUGCGAAGGCAGCUUGCUACGCAAAUAUUGACGCUGAGGCACGAAAGCGUGGGGAUCAAACAGGAUUAGAUACCCUGGUAGUCCACGCCCUAAACGAUGAUUACUCGACAUUAGCGAUACACAGUUAGUGUCUGAGCGAAAGCAUUAAGUAAUCCACCUGGGAAGUACGACCGCAAGGUUGAAACUCAAAGGAAUUGACGG